rnacentral:tRNA from 1 species
GGCGGGGUAGCUCAGUGGUAGAGCGAGGGUCUCAUAAUCCCUAGGUCGGGCGUUCGAUCCGCCCCCCCGCUACCA